rnacentral:rRNA from 1 species
CCUACGGGUGGCAGCAGUAAGGGAUAUUGGUCAAUGGGGGAAACCCUGAACCAGCAACGCCGCGUGAGGGAAGACGGCUUUCGGAUUGUAAACUUCUGUCCUCUGUGAAGAUGAUGACGGUAGUAGAGGAGGAAGCUCCGGCUAACUACGUCCCAGCAGCCGCGGUAAUACGUAGGGAGCGAGCGUUGUCCGGAUUUACUGGGUGGAAAGGGUGCGUAGGCGGCUUGGCAAGUCAGUAGUGAAAUCCAUGGGCUUAACCCCUGAACUGCUAUUGAAACUGUCGUGCUUGAGUGAAGUAGAGGGAGACGGAAUUCCCGGUGUAGCGGUGAAAUGCGUAGAGAUCAGGAGGAACACCAGUGGCGAAGGCGGUCUACAGGACUUUAACUGACGCUGAGGCGCGAAAGCGUGGGUAGCAAACAGGAUUAGAUACCCCGGUAGUC